GUGAGGAAUAUUGGUCAAUGGGCGCAAGCCUGAUCCAGCCAUGCCGCGUGCAGGAAGACGCAUCUAUGGUGUGUAAACUGCUUUUGUACGGGAAGAAACUCUCCCUCGUGAGGGAGCUUGACGGUACCGUAAGAAUAAGGAUCGGCUAACUCCGUGCCAGCAGCCGCGGUAAUACGGAGGAUCCAAGUGUUAUCCGGAAUCAUUGGGUUUAAAGGGUCCGUAGGCGGUUUAAUAAGUCAGUGGUGAAAGCCCAUCGCUCAACGAUGGAACGGCCAUUGAUACUGUUAGACUUGAAUUACAAGGAAGUAACUAGAAUAUGUAGUGUAGCGGUGAAAUGCUUAGAUAUUACAUGGAAUACCAAUUGCGAAGGCAGGUUACUACUUGUGGAUUGACGCUGAUGGACGAAAGCGUGGGGAGCGAACAGGAUUAGAAACCCUUGUAGUCC
rnacentral:rRNA from 1 species